GCGGCGGAGGCGGGCCCGGAAGGGCCACGUGCGUCCGCGGGGCGCGGGGCGCGGGGCGCGGGGGCGGGGCGGGGGCGGGGCGGGGGCGGGGCCUCGCCGGGAGCCUGCGCGGACCGGGUCCCCGCCUGGCGGCGCCGGGGGCUUGCAGGGCGGGGCGGGGCGCUGUGUCCCCGCGGAGGGUCCUGCGGGGCUGGCGGUCCCCGGGGCUGCCCUGCGCGCUGCCAGGCCACAGCAGGUGCGCUCCGCGGCAUUCCCUAGGUGGAGAAGGCAGGCAGGCUGAGAGAGCUAUUUUAGUGGCAGACGACCACUUCAGAAAGCUUAUCUCAUGGAGAAACUUCCUUUCAUUCUCUUCCCACACGGAAAUGGCCAUUAUAGUAAUAAGUCUAAUCAGAAACACCAUACAGCUGCUUUCCACACCAGGGCAGUAGGAGAAUUACAUGCAAAUCUUGAACACUGAAGAAGAGGGCCGAAGGUGGAGCUAACCUGGUGAGUGCCUUACUUACAGAUCCCUGGGGGUGGGGUGUGUUUUGGAAUCUUCUUUUCCAGGACAAUGGCUAAUAUGGUGCCUAAUGGGAUGCCUGUUACAGAGGAGUUGCUCAAUAAAUACUCCCUGAGGGGAGCAGAUCAGCUAUCCCAAACCAGGAAAGACGAGUUAUUGGAUUUAAGUAGCUCUCAGAUGCCGCUGGACCCCAUCACCCAAACCCUGAUAUAGGGGAUUGCUCCUUAAACUGCAAUGCCCUCGACUUCCCUGCCUUCUCUUCUUUUUGAAUUCCAUUUGGUCAAGUGUCACCUGCUCUCUGAAGCUUUCACUGGUUUCCCCAGAUAGAAUUAAUUCCAUCUUGCUCUUUUGUUUUCUUUUAAAAACCGUUUGACCCCAGGACUCUCCUAUAGCGAUAACCAUGCACCAGGCACUCUGAACUGCAGCUCUGAUUUGGCUUUGGGCAGACCUGGUCUCAAGUCCUAACAUCAAGAAUUACCAGCUAUAGAUUCACAAGCCACUUCUCCAAAUCUUGACUUCUUGAGUAUAGUGAGGAUAAUAACACUUAACUCAUAAGGUUAACAGAAGGAUUUGAACAUCAUCCCUGUAGACAUGUAUUUCCAUCACACCCAAACCAUCAAAAUCAGAAAUUUGGUUUCUGUUUACUUCUGUAGCACCUACUUCAGUACUAGGCAUUUAAGAGAGUCUCAAUAGUUUUUGUAUUUGUGUGUGUGAAAAAUAUAAAUGGAUGGAUGUGGUGGUAAUAAUUGUUAUGUAAUAAUUAAAU
rnacentral:lncRNA from 1 species